AUCCUCCAAGGCUAAAUACUCCUGACUGACCGAUAGUGAACCAGUACCGUGAGGGAAAGGCGAAAAGAACCCCGGCGAGGGGAGUGAAAAAGAACCUGAAACCGUGUACGUACAAGCAGUGGGAGCCUCUUUAUGGGGUGACUGCGUACCUUUUGUAUAAUGGGUCAGCGACUUAUAUUCUGUAGCAAGGUUAACCGUAUAGGGGAGCCGAAGGGAAACCGAGUCUUAACUGGGCGUUAAGUUGCAGGGUAUAGACCCGAAACCCGGUGAUCUAGCCAUGGGCAGGUUGAAGGUUGGGUAACACUAACUGGAGGACCGAACCGACUAAUGUUGAAAAAUUAGCGGAUGACCUGUGGCUGGGGGUGAAAGGCCAAUCAAACCGGGAGAUAGCUGGUUCUCCCCGAAAGCUAUUUAGGUAGCGCCUCGUGAACUCAUCUUCGGGGGUAGAGCACUGUUUCGGCUAGGGGGCCAUCCCGGCUUACCAACCCGAUGCAAACUACGAAUACCGAAGAAUGUUAUCACGGGAGACACACGGCGGGUGCUAACGUCCGUCGUGAAGAGGGAAACAACCCAGACCGCCAGCUAAGGUCCCAAAGUCAUGGUUAAGUGGGAAACGAUGUGGGAAGGCACAGACAGCCAGGAUGUUGGCUUAGAAGCAGCCAUCAUUUAAAGAAAGCGUAAUAGCUCACUGGUCGAGUCGGCCUGCGCGGAAGAUGUAACGGGGCUAAACCAUG
rnacentral:rRNA from 1 species